GAGCAUGUGGUUUAAUUCGAAGCAACGCGAAGAACCUUACCAGGUCUUGACAUCCUCUGACCACUCUAGAGAUAGAGCUUUCCCCUUCGGGGGACAGAGUGACAGGUGGUGCAUGGUUGUCGUCAGCUCGUGUCGUGAGAUGUUGGGUUAAGUCCCGCAACGAGCGCAACCCUUGACCUUAGUUGCCAGCAUUCAGUUGGGCACUCUAAGGUGACUGCCGGUGACAAACCGGAGGAAGGUGGGGACGACGUCAAAUCAUCAUGCCCCUUAUGACCUGGGCUACACACGUGCUACAAUGGGUGGUACAAAGGGUUGCGAAGCCGCGAGGCCAAGCCAAUCCCAAAAAGCCACUCUCAGUUCGGAUUGUAGGCUGCAACUCGCCUACAUGAAGCCGGAAUUGCUAGUAAUCGCGGAUCAGCAUGCCGCGGUGAAUACGUUCCCGGGCCUUGUACACACCGCCCGUCACACCACGAGAGUUUGUAACACCCGAAGUCGGUGGGGUAACCCUUUUGGGAGCCAGCCGCCGAAGGUGGGACAGAUGAUUGGGGUGAAUCGUAACAAGUAGCCCUUUGG
rnacentral:rRNA from 1 species